UACGUAGGGCGCAAGCGUUAUCCGGAAUUAUUGGGCGUAAAGAGCUCGUAGGCGGUUUGUCGCGUCUGCCGUGAAAGUCCGGGGCUCAACCCCGGAUCUGCGGUGGGUACGGGCAGACUAGAGUGUGGUAGGGGAGACUGGAAUUCCUGGUGUAGCGGUGGAAUGCGCAGAUAUCAGGAGGAACACCGAUGGCGAAGGCAGGUCUCUGGGCCACUACUGACGCUGAGAAGCGAAAGCAUGGGGAGCGAACAGG
rnacentral:rRNA from 1 species